rnacentral:rRNA from 1 species
GACGUAGGGCGCGAGCGUUGUCCGGAUUUAUUGGGCGUAAAGAGCUCGUAGGCGGUCUGUCGCGUCGAAAGUGAAAACCCAGGGCUUAACCCUGGGCCUGCUUCCGAUACGGGCAGACUAGAGGUAUGCAGGGGAGAACGGAAUUCCUGGUGUAGCGGUGAAAUGCGCAGAUAUCAGGAGGAACACCGAUGGCGAAGGCAGGUCUCUGGGCAUUAACUGACGCUGAGGAGCGAAAGCAUGGGGAGCGAACAGG